rnacentral:rRNA from 1 species
GAUGAACGCUGGCGGCGUGCCUAAUACAUGCAAGUCGAGCGAACAGACGAGGAGCUUGCUCCUCUGACGUUAGCGGCGGACGGGUGAGUAACACGUGGAUAACCUACCUAUAAGACUGGGAUAACUUCGGGAAACCGGAGCUAAUACCGGAUAAUAUAUUGAACCGCAUGGUUCAAUAGUGAAAGACGGUUUUGCUGUCACUUAUAGAUGGAUCCGCGCCGCAUUAGCUAGUUGGUAAGGUAACGGCUUACCAAGGCGACGAUGCGUAGCCGCCCUGAGGGGGUGAUCGGCCACACUGGAACUGAGACACGGCCCAGACUCCUAGGGGAGGAAGCAGUAGGGAAUCUUCCGCAAUGGGCGAAAGCCUGACGUAGCAACGCCGCGGGAGUGCUGAAGGUCUUCGGAUCGUAAAACUCUGUUAUUAGGGAAGAACAAAUGUGUAAGUAACUAUGAACGUCUUGACGGUACCUAAUCAGAAAGCCACGGCUAACUACGUG